ensembl:lncRNA
GUUGAGACGAGAGUGAGACAGACAGAUGGAGAGAGAGACGAAAGUGAGACAGACAGAUGGAGAGUGAGACGAGAGUGAGACAGACAGAUGGAGAGAGAGACGAGAGUGAGACAGACAGAUGGAGAGAGAGAGACUGAGAGACAGUUACAGACAGAUGGAGAGAGAGACGAGAGUGAGACAGACAGAUGGAGAGUGAGACGAGAGUGAGACAGACAGAUGGAGAGAGAGACGAGAGUGAGACAGACAGAUGGAGAGUGAGACGAGAGUGAGACAGACAGAUGGAGAGUGAGACGAGAGUGAGACAGACAGAUGGAGAGAGAGAGGAUGAAAUGAAGAUAAAUGGACUGUAUGUAGUAAUAGAAGACGUGUCUGAGGCAGGUGA